rnacentral:rRNA from 1 species
GACGAACGCUGGCGGCGUGCUUAACACAUGCAAGUCGUACGGUAAGGCCCUUUCGGGGGUCCACGAGUGGCGAACGGGUGAGUAACACGUGAGUAACCUGCCCACAACUUUGGGAUAACGCUAGGAAACUGGUGCUAAUACUGGAUAUGUGCUCCUGCUGCAUGGUGGGGGUUGGAAAGCUCCGGCGGUUGUGGAUGGACUCGCGGCCUAUCAGCUUGUUGGUGGGGUAGUGGCCUACCAAGGCGGCGACGGGUAGCCGGCCUGGGAGGGUGACCGGCCAAAUUGGGACUGAGAUACGGCCCAGACGCCGACGGGAGGAAGAAGGGGGGAAUAUUGAACAAGGGGCGCAAGCCUGAUGCAGAAACGCCGCGUGCGGGAUGACGGCCUUCGGGUUGGAAACCGCUUUCAGCAGGGACGAAGCUUUUUGUGACGGUACCUGCAGAAGAAGCACCGGCUAACUACGUG